GGCCUAAUAGUAUAGUCGUAUUAUACUCCCUUCGGGAAAGACGAAACCCUCAGGGGAGCCCUGAGUUUGGGAGAGGUCCCGGGUUCAAUUCCCGGUUGGGCCC
rnacentral:tRNA from 1 species